rnacentral:tRNA from 1 species
GAAAGAAGUAGCUUAACAUAAGCAUAACACUGAAAAUGUUAGGAUAGCCUCAAAACUCUCUUUCACA